GAUGAACGCUCGCUACAGGCUUAACACAUGCAAGUCGCGGGGCAGCAUGGGGGUUGCUUGCCACUCCCGAUGGCGACCGGCGCACGGGUGAGUAACGCGUAUCCAACCUGCCCUUCACCACGGGAUAACCCGGCGAAAGUCGGACUAAUACCGUAUGUUGUCCAUUGACGGCCUCCGAUUUGGACGAAAGGCUUUGCGGUGAAGGAUGGGGAUGCGUCCGAUUAGCCAGACGGCGGGGUAACGGCCCACCGUGGCUACGAUCGGUAGGGGUUCUGAGAGGAAGGUCCCCCACACUGGAACUGAGACACGGUCCAGACUCCUACGGGAGGCAGCAGUGAGGAAUAUUGGUCAAUGGGCGUAAGCCUGAACCAGCCAAGUAGCGUGCAGGAUGACGGCCCUAUGGGUGGUAAACUGCUUUUAUGCGGGGAUAAAGUGGCCCACGGGUGGGCUUUUGCAGGUACCGCAUGAAUAAGGACCGGCUAAUUCCGUG
rnacentral:rRNA from 1 species